GACGAACGCUGGCGGCGUGCCUAAUACAUGCAAGUAGAACGCUGAAGAGAGGAGCUUGCUCUUCUUGGAUGAGUUGCGAACGGGUGAGUAACGCGUAGGUAACCUGCCUGGUAGCGGGGGAUAACUAUUGGAAACGAUAGCUAAUACCGCAUAAAAUGGAUUAUCGCAUGAUAAUCCAUUGAAAGGUGCAAAUGCAUCACUACCAGAUGGACCUGCGUUGUAUUAGCUAGUUGGUGGGGUAACGGCUCACCAAGACGACGAUACAUAGCCGACCUGAGAGGGUGAUCGGCCACACUGGGACUGAGACACGGCCCAGACUCCUACGGGAGGCAGCAGUAGGGAAUCUUCGGCAAUGGACGGAAGUCUGACCGAGCAACGCCGCGUGAGUGAAGAAGGUUUUCGGAUCGUAAAGCUCUGUUGUAAGAGAAGAACGAGUGUGAGAGUGGAAAGUUCACACUGUGACGGUAUCUUACCAGAAAGGGACGGCUAACUACGUG
rnacentral:rRNA from 1 species